rnacentral:rRNA from 1 species
UACGUAUGGUGCAAGCGUUAUCCGGAUUUACUGGGUGUAAAGGGAGCGUAGACGGAGUGGCAAGUCUGAUGUGAAAACCUGGGGCUCAACCCCGGGACUGCAUUGGAAACUGUCAAUCUAGAGUACCGGAGAGGUAAGCGGAAUUCCUAGUGUAGCGGUGAAAUGCGUAGAUAUUAGGAGGAACACCAGUGGCGAAGGCGGCUUACUGGACGGUAACUGACGUUGAGGCUCGAAAGCGUGGGGAGCAAACAGG